GCGGCCACGUGACCGACGCCAACAUGGCGGCGCCCAGCGGCGUCCACCUGCUCGUCCGAAGAGGUUGUCAUAGGAUUUUCUCUUCACCACUCAAUCAUAUCUACUUACACAAGCAGUCCAGCAGUCAACAAAGAAGAAAUUUCUUUUUCCGGAGACAAAGAGAGAUUUCACACAGUAUAGUUUUGCCGGCUGCAGUUUCUUCAGCUCAUCCAGUCCCUAAGCACAUAAAGAAGCCAGACUAUGUGACGACAGGCAUUGUACCCGACUGGGGAGACAGCAUAGAAGUUAAGACUGAAGAUCAGAUUCAAGGGCUUCAUCAGGCUUGUCAGCUGGCCCGUCAUGUCCUCCUCCUGGCCGGGAAGAGUUUAAAGGUUGGCAUGACAACAGAAGAGAUAGAUGCUCUUGUUCAUCAGGAGAUCAUCAGUCAUGAUGCCUAUCCUUCACCUCUAGGCUAUGGAGGUUUUCCAAAAUCUGUUUGUACCUCUGUAAACAAUGUGCUUUGUCAUGGUAUUCCUGACAGUCGACCUCUUCAGGAUGGAGAUAUUAUCAACAUUGAUGUCACGGUUUACUACAAUGGCUACCAUGGAGACACCUCUGAAACAUUUUUGGUGGGCAGUGUGGAUGAAGGCGGUAAAAAGUUAGUGGAGGUUGCCAGGAGGUGUAGAGAUGAAGCAAUUGCUGCUUGCAGAGCAGGGGCUCCCUUCUCUGUAAUUGGAAACACAAUCAGCCAGAUAAGUCACCAGAAUGGUUUGCAAGUCUGUCCACAUUUUGUGGGACAUGGAAUAGGCUCUUACUUUCAUGGACAUCCAGAAAUCUGGCAUCAUGGGUGGUGGCUGGAAGGCACAAUGGAUAUUUGUCUAGCAAAAGUUACUGAAAACGAAACACCACUGCAUCGAUGUCCCAGGAGAAUGCACAUAUGACUGUUUUCUGUUUUCUUUUUCUACCCCCUUCUCUAACCGCUGACUGUUGUGGUUAAACUUCAUUACAUCCUACACAGUGUUGACAGCUGAUGUAUUUAGCAGCAUGUACUCUUUAGUGAUUUCUAGAUUAUACCCACCCUGUGUUCCUUCCCCCAGAACCUCCUGUUUUUUGCUGCCUGGUCGUGCACCCUACAGUGAGAAGGCAAGGGUUGGCUAGAAGGAGUGGAGGGUUAGAGUAGGAAGCAGUUCUAUGGAGUGUCCCCAAAGGGCAUGCACGGUUGGACAGGGACCAAAGAAAGUUGAUCCUGGAGCUUUGACCUGUGUGUACAGGGUGGGAGCAGCCCCUGCAGGAAUUACUGACUGGAAUCCAUCCCCUGCAUAGUCCCAGGGGACUCAGCCGGUCAGAAUGCCCUUUGGCCCAAGUAGCCUCACUCAAAGCUCAUAAGAGGUCCAGUUUGGAGCAAAAAGGCAUGUGUCCCACCCAGUGCCAACACUUGGAAAUAUUUCAAGUCACCCCUGAUAUUGCCUCCUACCAAUCUGCCUUCCUUUGGCGUCGGUUCUCAAAAUGUCUUUCUCUUUGGGUUGGGAGAGGAGGAGGGUGGCGGGUCAGGUCCAGCACCCAGUAAAGCCAGGAGACGUCACAUCAAGUGGCCAAGGGACAGUGGAGUUGGGGAGGGAGGUGCCCCAAAUUUUCCCAAGCACCCAGUCUGCCCCUGCUCAGCCUUGGUGCACCCUUCUCAGGACCCUUGACCUCAAGCUCAGAAAAUGCAAAGGCUGAGUCUCAGGAGUCUUGUGCCUAACCUCUGGGGUGGUAGGAUUUUAGAAACCUCCACUUCUACCCUAAAAAAAAAGUACAUAUUUUGAGCAGCCUAACCCAUCUAAUUUUGUUUCUGUCUUUCUAUUUCUCAUUCCCAGUCCCCCACCCAUAGUUUAUGUGUUUGUUUUACAGCGAAUGACAGCGAUCUGCUCAUGGAGGAGGGUAUGGCGUUCACCAUAGAGCCAAUUAUAACCGAGGGAUCCCCUGAAUUUAAAGUGCUGGAGGAUGCAU